rnacentral:rRNA from 1 species
UACGGAGGGUGCGAGCGUUAAUCGGAAUUACUGGGCGUAAAGCGCGCGUAGGCGGUUUGUUAAGUCAGCUGUGAAAGCCCCGGGCUCAACCUGGGAACUGCAGUUGAUACUGGCCGACUAGAGUACGAGAGAGGGAGGUAGAAUUCCAUGUGUAGCGGUGAAAUGCGUAGAUAUAUGGAGGAAUACCGGUGGCGAAGGCGGCCUCCUGGCUCGAUACUGACGCUGAGGUGCGAAAGCGUGGGGAUCAAACAGGAUUAGAUACCCUGGUAGUCCACGCCGUAAACGAUGUCUACUAGCCGUUGGGAGACUUGAUUUCUUAGUGGCGCAGCUAACGCAAUAAGUAGACCGCCUGGGGAGUACGGCCGCAAGGUUA